ACAAACUCUGGUGCGGCAGCGGGGGUAAGUCGGAGGAGGCAGGCGUGGUCGGGGUGGAGUGGGGGUAAGUGGCGGGUAGGCGGCCAAGCGAGUCCGCUGUGAAAACGCGGGGCUCAUCCUCGAGAGGUCGGUGGAAACCGUGUGGCUAGAGUCCGGAAGAGGAGAGGGGAAUUCCCGUGGUAGCGGUGAAAUGCGCAGAGAUCGGGAAGAACACCCGUGGCGAAGGCGGCUCUCUGGGACGGUACUGACGCUGAGACGCGAAAGCGUGGGGAGCGAACAGGAUUAGAUACCCCGGUAGUC
rnacentral:rRNA from 1 species